UACGUAGGGUGCAAGCGUUAAUCGGAAUUACUGGGCGUAAAGCGUGCGCAGGCGGUUAUGCAAGACAGAUGUGAAAGCCCCGGGCUCAACCUGGGAAUGGCGAUGGAUACUGGCUCGCUAGAGUGCGGUAGAGGAGAGUGGAAUUCCCGGUGUAGCAGUGAAAUGCGUAGAGAUCGGGAGGAACAUCAGUUGCGAAGGCGGCUCUCUGGACCAGCACUGACACUGAGGCACGAAAGCGUGGGGAGCAAACAGG
rnacentral:rRNA from 1 species